CUGUCUCUCUAAUUUAUGAGAUACUUCAAGGUACCUCAGGGCUGCCUACAGAGGGAAGCUCCUCACAUGGUUCCAUGUGACACCAUCUGGGCCCCAUCUGUCCUUCCUCACGGCGCCCUCGGCACCUUGAGCCACCACCCCCAGCUGCAUUUUGGAAGAAAGAUGGAGUCCAAGGUCUCAGAAGGUGGCCUGAACGUGACGCUGACCAUCCGCCUGCUGAUGCACGGAAAGGAAGUUGGCAGCAUUAUCGGAAAGAAAGGAGAGACCGUGAAGAAGAUGCGUGAGGAGAGCGGGGCAAGAAUCAACAUCUCGGAGGGAAACUGCCCAGAGAGAAUCGUAACCAUCACGGGCCCCACGGACGCCAUCUUCAAAGCUUUUGCCAUGAUCGCCUACAAGUUUGAAGAGGACAUCAUCAACUCCAUGAGCAACAGUCCAGCCACCAGCAAGCCUCCGGUGACGCUGAGGCUGGUGGUCCCUGCUAGCCAGUGCGGGUCCCUGAUUGGCAAAGGCGGCUCCAAGAUCAAAGAGAUCAGGGAGUCCACAGGUGCCCAGGUCCAGGUGGCCGGGGACAUGCUGCCCAACUCCACAGAGCGGGCAGUGACCAUCUCGGGGACCCCGGACGCCAUCAUCCAGUGUGUCAAGCAGAUCUGUGUGGUCAUGCUGGAGUCCCCACCGAAAGGUGCCACCAUUCCCUACCGCCCAAAGCCCGCCUCCACCCCUGUCAUUUUUGCAGGUGGUCAGGCCUACACGAUCCAGGGACAGUACGCCAUCCCUCACCCAGAUCAGUUGACCAAGCUCCACCAGCUGGCCAUGCAGCAAACCCCCUUUCCUCCCCUCGGACAGACCAACCCCGCUUUCCCCGGAGAAAAGCUGCCUUUACACUCCUCCGAAGAAGCUCAAAAUCUGAUGGGCCAGUCGUCAGGUCUGGACGCCAGCCCCCCGGCCAGCACUCAUGAGCUCACCAUUCCCAAUGAUGCUCUUCAUUUGACGGGACUUCCUACAGUCGAGGCCUCACGGCUCCCAUCCUCCAGCAGGAGUGGAGCUAAUAGGCUGCAUAAUUGGACGCCAAGGGACCAAAAUCAAUGAAAUUCGACAGAUGUCUGGAGCACAGAUCAAAAUCGCCAAUGCCACGGAGGGGUCAUCAGAGCGCCAGAUCACCAUCACGGGGACCCCAGCCAACAUCAGCCUUGCCCAGUACCUCAUCAACGCCAGGCUGACAUCCGAGGUCACCGGAAUGGGCGCUCUCUAACCCCACCACGCCCCUACGCUCACCACCUGUGCAGACUGCCCCCCGCCCCCCGCAGAUGUAGAGGUUUCUUUACCAACAGAAGCUAUCUGUGCCUGCCCUAGACCUGUGCCCACAAUGCUCCAAGUGUGUCUGGGGCCCCUGGCUCCACCCUGACACUGCUCCAAGUUCAUUUACGCCUGCUCCUCACGCGUUGGCAUGCCAUGUCCAUUAUUUUAAAGGCUUUGUGGCCAUUCCCAUCCAUGACGCUCUAGAAAUGUCGUUCCUUAGUGUCCGUGUACCUUUUUAAGACUUGGUUUGACAUGUGGACGUUGUCUCCGAGGCCCCAAAGCUGUGGCCGCAGGAAGCCGCCCCUCCCGGUGCCCUCGGCCUUGUCUCCAGGGGCCGCCUGCGUCAGCACCGGGUAGGGUGCACAUCUCCCUAUGUCCGAGGGCAGGAGAGUGGAGGGCUCGGGGUCGUGACGGGAGGAUGGAGCGGGCUGCUGGGCCCCAGGCAUCUGUCUUUGGGGCUGACAGUGUGGACCAGCUGGGAGGCACCUCUGCACUGGGAGCCAGUUCAAUAAAUGAUGCGCGCUGCCCCUCAUCUUGGACUCCU